rnacentral:rRNA from 1 species
AGCGAACGCUGGCGGCAGGCUUAACACAUGCAAGUCGAGCGGGCCUUUCGGGGUCAGCGGCGGACGGGUGAGUAACGCGUGGGAACGUGCCCUCUGGUUCGGAAUAACUCAGGGAAACUUGAGCUAAUACCGGAUACGCCCUUUUGGGGAAAGGCUUGCUGCCGGAGGAUCGGCCCGCGUCUGAUUAGCUUGUUGGUGAGGUAACGGCUCACCAAGGCGACGAUCAGUAGCUGGUCUGAGAGGAUGAUCAGCCACACUGGGACUGAGACACGGCCCAGACUCCUACGGGAGGCAGCAGUGGGGAAUAUUGGACAAUGGGCGCAAGGCUGAUCCAGCCAUGCCGCGUGAGUGAUGAAGGCCUUAGGGUUGUAAAGCUCUUUUAUCCGGGACGAUAAUGACGGUACCGGAGGAAUAAGCCCCGGCUAACUUCGUG